CCUGCUGGCCACCAGCACUGAGGAGGGCCGCAAGGUGCAGCGCAGUGGGGGGGUCACGUACCCAGCUGUGUUCCGCCGCGUGGCCGAGCGAGACGAGGGGUGACGGGGGGACCUUCCUGUCACCUUGGGGACCUCCUGGCACCUUGGGGACCUCCUGGCACCUUGGGGACCUUCCUGUCACCUUGGGGACCUCCUGGCACCAUGGGGACAGCACUGACACCACCAGGUCACCGUGGGGACGCUUCGGUCACUGUGGGGUCCUCCUGUCACCCUGAGGUCCUCCUGUCACCACGAGGUCACCUAUGGGGUCCUCCUGUCACCGUGGGGACACUUUUGUCACCCUGAGUCCUCCUGCUACCAUUGGGACAGCACUGAACACCGUAGGACCUUCCUGUCACCAUGGGGACCUUCCUGUCACUUUGGGGACGGCGCUGACACCCUGAGGUCCUCCUGUCACCAUAAGGUCACUGUGGGGUCCUCCUGUCACCGUGGGGACACUUCUGUCACCCUGAGGUCCUUCUCCUACCAUUGGGACAGCACUGAACACCGUGGGACCUUCCUGUCACUGUGGGGUCCUCCUGUCACCAUGGGGACAGCACUGACACCCUGAGGUCCUCCUGUCACCACGAGGUCACCGUGGGGUCCUCCUGUCACCGUGGGGACACUUCUGUCACCCUGAGGUCCUCCUGCUACCAUUGGGACAGCACUGAACACUGUGGGACCCUCCUGUCACUGUGUGGUCCUCCUGUCACCAUGAGGUCCUCCUGUCACUGUGGGGACCUUCCUGUCACUUUGGGGACAGCGCUGACACCCUGAGGUCCUCCUGUCACCAUGGGGUCACCAUGGGGUCCUCCUGGCACUGGGGGGGACCUUCAUGUCACCAUGGAGAUCUCCUGGACAUUGUGGGGACAGCGCUGACACCGUGGGGUCCUCCUGUCACCAUGGGGACAAUUCUGUCACCCUGAGGUCCUCCUGCUACCAUUGGGACCCUCCUGGCACCGUGGGGACGCUUCUGUCACCCGAGGUCCUCCUGACACCGUGAGGUCACUGUGAAGUCCCUCUGUCACCGUGAAACCCUGCUAUCACCAA